UCCCAAGUGCUAAAACCCUUUACUGAAGUUAACCAAGAAACAAGUUUAUGCUUAUAAAUACUUCAAGCUAAGUUUUUAUUUAUAACAUGCAAAGCAUGAAAAAUAUGGCUCAAAUAUUCACUCUAUUAGUUAUUCUUUCGCUAUUUUUUGUGGUAAUUGACGGAUAUGUGCAAUGCAAAACGGCUAGUGAUUGUCCAAUCAGUAUGUGUCGCUUUCCUGUAGUUCCAAAGUGCAUUAGAUAUAAAUGUGAAUGCGACUAUGUGAAUAAAUUCAUGUUCAAAUGAAAAAUAAUGAUAUAUGUUAUGAAUAAUAUGUAAUGAAUGUCCAUUAUUGUGUAGGUUUUCUUGUCCCCUAAUUGUGUCUUAUAAAUAAGACCCCUUUGUUAUAAUGUAAAGCACACUUGUGAAUAGAAUAAUAACAAUGGUCUAUUCCUUUCUCUUC